rnacentral:rRNA from 1 species
CACGUAGGGGGCAAGCGUUGUCCGGAUUUAUUGGGCGUAAAGAGCUCGUAGGCGGCUUAGUAAGUCGGGUGUGAAACCUCCAGGCUCAACCUGGAGACGCCACCCGAUACUGCUGUGGCUAGAGUCCGGUAGGGGAGCGUGGAAUUCCUGGUGUAGCGGUGAAAUGCGCAGAUAUCGGGAGGAACACCGGUGGCGAAGGCGGUUCUCUGGGCCUUACCUGACGCUGAGGAGCGAAAGCGUGGGGAGCGAACAGG